UUAGGAAACCUCAGAUGUGUUCAGCUGGAGUUGUGUGUAUUCACUUUUUGUGAAUUGGGGGGGGGGGGGGGGCAAUUGUACAUUUUACGGUUUGUGUACAAGUGUGUGUUUCUGAGUGUGCAUCAUUGACAGACCUUCAUCCUGAGUCUGGGUCAGCAGUUUGUUUAGCAUCAAUUAGAGUCUCUGUGUUCCUCAACGCAAGCGUGAAGGGAGAAUUAACGUGCAGUGGCACAUUCCCACCAGCGUAUUAUUACACACAGCACCUCAGCUGGAACAGUCCGAGCACGUUUGUGCAUGUGGAUAUCUUUGUGUGCCUGUGCGCGUGCAUACGUGUUCAUAGGUAAAUGAUUCAAAUUCAAAAAGUGCUUUACUUUUCUUCCCCCCCGUCUUCUUCUCCUUGCUUUGCGCUCCUCUCCUCUUUCAAGGACUAUGGUCUGACCACAGCCAUUUCCCUUAGCCCCCGGCUUUGCCUAGCAACACACAGCACACAGUUUCCAUAGAACAUGCAUUUAAUGGGAGGGAAGAUAUAUAGAUACUGGAGAAAGUCUCUUGUAAAGACAACAGCGUCUAAAGAUUUCCCGUUCUGCUCACACACAAAGUCUGAAAAACACAUGUUCACUGGUUUUAGUGCAGGCUUUUCUCUUAAAGGCAUCAAGUAAAGGACUACACAUGGAAUGCAGACUAAAAUGGGGCUAAUAUCAUUUUGACAACAGCAUUAAAUACAGGGCAUGGCCAUUAUAAACUAAACACCAAUAUAACUGCUUUGCUUUGUGGUGGUGAAUUGUACUUUUAUUAUCAUAGUUUUGGUCCAGCUUUUACAAAAAGAAUGAUCAGUGUUAAACAGAAUGAUUCAAAGUGAUCAUAAUAUGAACCCUCCAUCUUUCUGAAGCUAGUAAAACAGUUUAUGCCAAACACUGCAUUGGCAUUAAUUCAGGCCAGAGCCUGGCCUGACAGCUGAAAAAAAAACCUUUGUUCAGCCUGAAGCCAAUAUUUUAAAGUCAACCAAAAAGUCAAUUCACUGUGAUGCGAGAAAAACACAACAAAAAGACUGAUUUUAUACUCUCUAUAACUCUCUGCCCAAAACAGUCAAACUUACCAAGUGAGCAAGUUGCAACCUGUUUACUUGCCGUCACUUUUGGUGUGUGUGUGUGUGUGAUGAGAUGAAGACAAAAUUGUCAGUAUGCACCUUAUUCAGCUUAUCAUUGUAGUUUUACUGCUGUAGUGGUAUUAUUUAGAUUUUAGAUCUGAACCUGAAAAUAAGUCUGAACUCGGCUCACAUAUCCUCAGGUUCUGUUGGCCUUGGGCCAAGCUGCAGACUUUAAAUACCUUCAUGUACUUUAUGUUUAAAUAAGAUCAUAUGGUGGUAUUAUAUCAUUAUGUUAAUAAUAACUCUGUCUAAGAACAGUCAGUGUCAUGCCCCCCAAAUCAUUCUGAAGCACCAGCACAUCCAGACAUGUUAACAGAGCCAUUAUUUUCUUUAAAAACCUGCUUCCAAGAAAGAUAUGCAUCAUUCAUGAUCAUUCAACAUUAUUAUGCUAGAAGUGAUUAGAACAUGCCUAACCCUUUUAAGGAUUAUUGGAUUGAGAUCAUGCCAGGAAAUGUACCACACACAGGCACAACAUUGCCAGAAUCCCUCAGUUUGGCAGUAUUUAUGUUGCUUUUCUCCUUACUUUGAUUACAUGCUCUGCAUAAAUAUGGAAUAUAGUUUCAUCUCUUUUGUGUCCUUAUUGUGUUCUUUGAUGGGGGUUGGGAUGUCAGUGGGCCUUUGCCAGGAGAAAGGCUUCCUGGCUUUGCCAAGGUAUGCCCUCCUCCCUCUGUCUCAUGUGGAGCGAGGCUCUACUCGCUUGUAAAUAGUGAGAUAAGUGUGGUUUACCCGUAGCUGGGGUGUAAGGUGCACUCAGCACCGCCCUGACAUGUCUGUGCCAAAGCCCAACAGGGGUGUAAUUACCUGAGACUGGGUCAGCACUUUAUCCUGGGUAAAAAUACCUGCCUACUUAUAGAAGGGGAAUAGAGAGGGCAGCUCCAUGCAAAGGGAAGCCUGUCUUCACACAUCCAGCCAACUGCUCCUCUAUGUUGGGUAAUGCUCUGGUAGUUUCUCCACUACUCCUUCAGAGGAGUCAUAUAGCAUUACUUAACAAUCUGUCAAGAGGACUUCCAGACAAAACCUUUUCCAUCUUCUUCUUCUGCUUUACAUGGCUGCGACAGUCUGACCUACAAAACACUUUUACACUCGUCCAAUAUUCCACUCUCUACCUCUUAAGGUGCUGGGCUGAACGCCACAGCAGACUUUCAGCCCAGUACCUUUCCACACUCGCUGUGUUCCCCUACUCCGCCCCUUUCACACCACAUCUGUCUCUCUGACCUCCGAGUCAAGGACAGCGAGGGCCAAGAAGACAUGCAGAGGACGGCUCUGCACCAAUCAGGAGACAGAGGGAGCUUGUGUCAAUUAAAUGGUAUGUGCUUAUGCCGCAAAUCACAGACACAUGUUCCCUUCUCCCCUCCUACCCUGUGGCUGUUGCCUCUCUUCUCCACCACCUAAUGCAGCAUAAUCAUCCUCAUUACCUAAUGAGACCCUACUGUACACACAAACUCUCUCCUCUCUCUCAAACCCCCCCAAACCCCCCCCCCCACACACACACACACAUGUAUAAAGACAAGCAACAUGCUCACACAAAUUUGGUACACUGAAUGCAGUACACAAUUGUCUGAACCCCUACCACUCUAUCAACUGCGUGGCUGUCACUGCCACAACACUGUAAAGCCUCUAAUGCCACAGUAAUACUAUUGUAGUGUGUAUUAUCAACAGGACAGUGAGCACUGAAUUAGGCUGGCAGCUGGGUAGGGGAGAAACCCCUCAUUAGCUCCCUUCAAUGUAUCUACUUCCCCUAAUCGCUUACAAUAACAUAAUCUCUUUAAAAGUGCUGCAGCUUAAGUCCAAUCUGCCUAAAACCUGACACGUGAUGGAGGUCAAUCCCCAGUAAAGCCCAAACUGUGGGGUCUCAAGAACUCCACACUCCUCCUCUACCGCUCAAAGCUAGAGUACAGUAUGUGCAGGUAUUACAUUCAUGUUUUGCACCGAGCAGAAUGUGACACAGCCACAAGGCAUAUACUGAGAGAUAUGCAUGUCUUUCCCUGACUCAGACACUUAACAGUAUCUCUUUCCACUGCCAGACUUACAUUUUCAGUCAGUCAGAGCCUGGCCCAUCCUUUUCACAGCCUCUGUUCUAUCUAACCCUGGUAGUGGAGUGCCGUUCUGCUCUUUUUAUUUUUUGAUGUUUUUCCAUAGUGUCUCUUGCCUCCAAACCACUUACAGAUGUUGGCAGCGGGGAGCGUUGUGGCAACUCCAAACGAGGAAAUCUAAAUAGAGAUCAGGCUGUAAAAUAAAAAAGAAGGCCGGGAGAAAGAGAAAACAAGGGGAAAGCAAGAGAGCAAAUGCGAGAAAUGGGGUGAAUGAGUGAGAGAGAAAGUAGAAAGCAGUGAGUGAGCAUUAGUAUAGAAUUAGUAGAGAUAAAAAAAACACUUACUGGGCAUGUAAGAGUAGUGAUGUGAUUUGAGGGCUGUUUUUUUGAUUUGUCGGUGGAACUUGGAUUCAAACUCUUUAUUCUGUGUUUCGUCCCAGAAUCACAUUUUCUGAUUUGUUUCCCAAACAGCAGACAAACACAGGCAGAAAUUAAUACAAAAGUCUGGUUCAGUGUCAGUAUUCUUCACCCAAAAAGGUAUCUAAUGGGAAACAUAUUUUCAGAAAAAUACAGCAGUUUUUCAAUAGCCGAUAAUGAAUCGUCUUAAAAUUGUAUAUGGUUCAAAACCACAACUUCAUAUUCGCCUUUCCACUUACAGCUCCCUUGGCUGGUUUUUAUAUUAAACACCAGCUGUAGCAUAUAGGAAUAACACUCACCAGUUGUAAUCUACCUACUGGAAAACUGUUGGCUGGGUUGAAGGUAGACUUGGCCUGGCACAGUGGUGGUAGCUCCAUGUUACCUCCCUCCACCUGUUUUACAGGAAGUAGCCUUGUCCCAGUGGAUCAGAGAGGAAAUGUGUUGAAAUGCCACAUCCUGCUCCGAGCUCAGAGUUGGAGUUCACUAGAGCUAAUGCUUAUUAUGUCCAGACACCUCCUAGAGAAAAAAAGGAGCGCAGAGAGAGGGAGAAGUGGCAUUGUGUUUGCAGUCAUGCCACUCCCUGAGCAGUGAUUGUAAAGAUGAGUGACUUGUCUAACCCAUCUCUCCUUCUCCUUCUCUUCCCCUGCACUUUAUUUAUUAAUGGAUCCAUUCAAUUAUUUACCUCACAUCUUAGGGCGACAACAGGCCAGAGUACAGUACACAGGGUGGAGAUGAUAUAGUACACAUGCACAAAGCAUACAAACCGCGCUCAUUCAAGGCAGUCCAAGUACUCAAUGUAGUUCACUGAGUGGUAGGUUAUCCAUGUACAUCGUACCAGAUCAUACAAAACAAUCGUUAUAGACAUUUUAAUCAAGAUAAUUGGCUUUGAAAUUUGAUGUACAUUGAAUUUGAAUUCACUUUUUUAUUAACGGUUAUUGUUAGAAACUGGGUUGUCCAGGUUAGUGAAAAGGUGCGUCACUGUUCCUGAGAGUCCACAAUGACGUCCUCAGAUAGUUUGUUUUAUCUGAACAUCAGUAUCAAAGCUAUUUAAUUAACUAUGAUAUAAAAAAGACUAAUGCAUAUUCUAUUUUUUUGUAUUUUUAUAUUACAAUAUUGUUGUUUUUUUUGGUUCAGUAAAGGAUCUGAAUUCUUCCUUCACCAUGUUUCCAGUGAAAGUCAGCAUUGCUUUAACAGCAGCAAGCGCCUUUCAUGUGUCCUGAUGAAAUAUGGUCUGUAUACCUUUAAAAGUCACCAUAGCGUCCUGUUUGCAGUAGAGGUUGAUGGUUCAAACGUAUCAUUGACCGCUCUGUGUCUGCUCUUAUCUUGUCCCUCUGGCCUUAUCCCCGCAGUGGCCAGACAUGGAUCAAUCCCACCCGGAAUUGGGUUUCAUAUCCCGGAAGCAGAGACGUACACAUGGGUCACUUUCAUCGACUCACUGCGGCCAUGGCCAUAGGCUAAAGAUGAAUACGAGACGCUGCAACGCUGUCAUGAUCUGAACUCCAGACAGGACCAGGCUCAGCUGAGGAUUGAAGGAGAGAAGAUGAAGGGAAGGAUGGAGAGUGAGGGAUGAGGGAUAGAUGAGGAGAAGAAGAUGGUGAAGAUUGAUUGCUGCUGACUCCAGUCCAGCGCACUGAAAACUGGAAACUGUCCACCCCCGACAGCUACUUGUUUCACAAGACCAAAGGCUGAGGAGGAGUCCCGUGUUUUGUGGAAUAUAUGAGAGCAAUUACAGCCCCAUCAUGAAGAGACUGUGGACCUAAACAGAAUGGUAAAAUGGCAAUAUUGUUGAAUGUCCUCACUGUAAAGAGUGCACUGCAGCACAGAGAUGAAAAAAAAAAUGGUUGUGUGUGUAUUUGCACGUGAGUGUGUUGUGUUCAUACAUUUGAUUUCAGAUAAGGUGUGUUUGUGGUCUUCAGCACUUGAAUUCUUCUGCUGUUUAUAGCAUAUAUGCAUGAGUAUAUGUGUCUGUAGCAGUAUGUAUGCAUGUCUUGGAAGGGGGUGUAUAUGAACAGGAAGAGAGCCUGUAAAUAAAUCUGUUUGGGGAUUGGGGGUGUGGGGAUGAAAUAUGGUCCCAGGGAUGUGGAGCAAUGUGAAAAACUCGGCAACGCCAGGGAAUAACAAAUCUCCUGAUGUCGCCUCGCCGCAAAAUAAAUACACUCCCCUGUACAAGUCAUCCAUCUGGACUAUGAGUCGCAACAAAGACGCCCCCAAUACAUCCCCAAUGCACACCCUAACACACAUACACGUCCACACAAACACCCAACACCCAUCCCACACAGCAGCACAUAUUUAUUUACACAUUUAUUUAUUUGUUUGUUUGUUUGUUGAAUUAAAUGGAAACUGCUAGUGGGGAAUUGGAAAGAGAAUUUAUUGUUUUUUGUGGGGGUUUUUUGUGAAUGAAACAUUAUUUUCCCACCUUCCUUUUGCUGUCUGUGUCUUAAUGGGUGGUGUUGAGCGGGUGGCGAUGAAGGGUGGGUGGGGGUGCAGGGUUUGUGGAUUGGGCAUUUUAACUAAUGAUCGAUCACGGGGGAUUAAAUAAUUAAAUUUCAGCCUUGACAAUUUAAAAGUCUCCCCGCGCAAAGUCGACUGAAUGAGGAGAGAGGGAAAGAUGAAAGAUUCUGCCUGCAGCAAUGUAUCAGACGGAUUCAACAUUUAAUACAUUACAGGGAGAAAGUGCGUGUGUGUGAGAGAGAGAGAAAGAGCACGGGGAUAUACUUUU